rnacentral:lncRNA from 1 species
UUGUAAUGGAAAUUUACCUUAAUUAUAUUAUAGCAUCUUAAAUUUCUCUCUUUUUUCCCAAUUUGGGUUUCUCUUGGGAUUCUUUUGCUAUAAGAUUUGAUCCUGCUACUGUGAAAAAAUAUGCUAGACGCGCUUGUGAAAUCGAUCUUGGUAUUUAAUAUACUAUAUGGACAGUUAGCUAUUUGUUUUCUGCUAUGUUUUCUCCCAAACAACUUGUUGUUUUUGGUUCAUGGCUCACAAGUACACUGCAUGCUUUGAUCUUUUAUAGAAGGAGUAUUUAGUUUGAUGAAGGAUUUGCCUCAUUUAUGUCAUCCAGCUACACAGAGACGGUAGAAGUUUCACGAUCUUGAAUUUGGAGGUUCAAGUGGAAGUAUAUCCUUUCUGAAAUUUGUUAAACAUGAGAUCUGAAAAAUGCUUGAAAUCAAAUUUCUUAAAAGUAAGUGAAAGGAAAACCCUAUAUCAAGAAUUGUUACACGGAGUAACAUAAUGGAGCAAGUAUGUUUCUGGAACUUAUUUAGGUAGAAAAAUGUUUUAUGAGUUUACCUAUUUCUGAUCUAGCUUGGUUUCUUUGAUGAGAUGAUUGUGAAAAGGGAAUUACCUUUUUUCCUGUUUCAGGGAGCUCUCUCCUUGAUCAGAAAUCUUGGCGGUGUUUCGUCAAAGUUACAAAAAGGAAUAAAGGAAAAAAAAAAGCAGUAGCAGAUUGAAAGAAGAAGUUAAGUGAUCAGCUUCACAAGUUCAAUACUGACUUACUGGUGAAACACUCUAAAGGGGAAAACCCUAAUUGGAGAAGAGAAAACUUUAGGUUGUCCCCUGCAAAUCUAGUAGUAGUAGUAGCAAAAGUAUAAAUAAUAAAGAAAAGAGAAGUAAAGGGCAAUUUAGUGAUGGAGAAGGAAUGAAGGCAAAGGACAAAGGGUAAUAAAUGGAAGGUACACUAGAAAAAAGAUGACUAUGACACUGCAUCUAAUAAUAAUUUCAUACUUGUGGGGAUCUAUGUAUCCAUUUUUGCCCUUAUUCUACCCUAUUUCUCAUGCACUCACAGACAACCAUAAAAUUCUAUAUACUUUUUUUUUGUGUGUGUGAUAUAAACCCGACAUUUUCCUCGUAUUUGUUCCUUGUAAUUUUAGCAAUUAAAGAGAAG